CAGUAGCCGCGGUAACACGAAGGGGGCUAGCGUUGCUCGGAAUGACUGGGCGUAAAGGGCGCGUAGGCGGUUUGCCAAGUUAGAUGCGAAAUUCCCGGGCUUAACCUGGGGACUGCAUUUGAUACUGGCAGGCUUGAGUGUGGAAGAGGGUCGUGGAAUUCCCAGUGUAGAGGUGAAAUUCGUAGAUAUUGGAAGAACACCGGUGGCGAAGGCGGCGACCUGGUCCAUAACUGACGCUGAGGCGCGAAAGCGUGGGGAGCAAACAGGAUUAGAUACCCGCGUAGUCCCUGUCUCUUAUACA
rnacentral:rRNA from 1 species